GACGAACGCUGGCGGCGUGCUUAACACAUGCAAGUCGAACGGAAAGGCCCUGCUUUUGUGGGGUGCUCGAGUGGCGAACGGGUGAGUAACACGUGAGUAACCUGCCCUUGACUUUGGGAUAACUUCGGGAAACUGGGGCUAAUACCGGAUAGGAGCUCCUGCUGCAUGGUGGGGGUUGGAAAGUUUCGGCGGUUGGGGAUGGACUCGCGGCUUGUCAGCUUGUUGGUGGGGUAGUGGCUUACCAAGGCUUUGACGGGUAGCCGGCCUGAGAGGGUGACCGGCCACAUUGGGACUGAGAUACGGCCCAGACUCCUACGGGAGGCAGCAGUGGGGAAUAUUGCACAAUGGGCGGAAGCCUGAUGCAGCAACGCCGCGUGCGGGAUGACGGCCUUCGGGUUGUAAACCGCUUUCGCCUGUGACGAAGCGUGAGUGACGGUAAUGGGUAAAGAAGCACCGGCUAACUACGC
rnacentral:rRNA from 1 species